rnacentral:tRNA from 1 species
GCCACAGUAGCUCAGUGGUAGAGCACUCGAUUCGUAAUCGAGCGGUCAAGGGUUCAAUCCCCUUCUGUGGCU